rnacentral:rRNA from 1 species
CACUGCCCGUCACACCAUGGGAGUUUGUUGCACCAGAAGCAGGUAGCUUAACCGCAAGGGGGGCGCUUGCCACGGUGUGGCCGAUGACUGGGGUG